UGAGGAAUAUUGGUCAAUGGACGAGAGUCUGAACCAGCCAAGCAGCGUGCAGGAUGACGGCCCUAUGGGUUGUAAACUCCUUUUGUUUGGGAAUAAUCGACCUUAUGUGUAAUGUUUUGCAUGUACUAUUCGAAUAAGGACCGGCUCAUCUCGUGCCAGCAGCCGCGGUAAUACGGAAGGUCCAGGCGUUAUCCGGAUUUAUUGGGCUUAAAGGGGAUCUAGGCGGUAAGACAAGUUGAAGGUGAAAACCUGUGGCUCAACCAUAGACAUGCCUACAGAACUGUUGAACUAGAGUACUGGAGAGGUGGGUGGAACUACACGGGUAGAGGUGAAAUUCGUAGAUAUGUGUAGGAAUGCCGAUGAUGAAGAUAACUCACUGGAAAAAAACUGACGCUGAAGUGCGAAAGCGAGGGGAGCAAACAGG
rnacentral:rRNA from 1 species